rnacentral:rRNA from 1 species
CGUCGCCGCGGUAAUGCGUAGGUCCCGAGCGUUGUCCGGAUUUAUUGGGCGUAAAGGGUGCGCAGGCGGCUUGACAAGUCUUGUGUGAAAUCUAUGGGUUCAACCCAUAGUCUGCACGGGAAACUGUCGGGCUUGAGAAUGGGAGAGGUGAGUGGAAUUUCCGGUGUAGCGGUGAAAUGCGUAGAUAUCGGAAGGAACACCUGUGGCGAAAGCGGCUCACUGGACCAUUUCUGACGCUGAUGCACGAAAGCUAGGGGAGCAAACAGGAUUAGAGAUCCCUGUAGUCCCUGUUCUUAUACAC